UACGAAGGGGGCUAGCGUUGUUCGGAAUCACUGGGCGUAAAGCGCACGUAGGCGGAUCUUUAAGUCAGGGGUGAAAUCCCGGGGCUCAACCCUGGAACUGCCUUUGAUACUGAGGAUCUUGAGUCCGGGAGAGGUGAGUGGAACUGCGAGUGUAGAGGUGAAAUGCGCAGAUAUCAGGAGGAACACCGAUGGCGAAGGCAGCUCGCUGGGACGGUACUGACGCUGAGGCGCGAAAGCGUGGGGAGCGAACAGG
rnacentral:rRNA from 1 species